UUUCCAGUUUAUCAAGGUCAUGCUGAAUCCUAAUUAUAUCCUCCAAAGUGCCUGCAAUUUCUCCCAGCUUUGCAUUAUCUGCAAAUUUGGUUUCUUUCUGCACUGCAUUGAAUAAGGGAAGUUAAAGAUAAACUUUGCCUUCACAAGCAGGUCCUUCGGAGAAGGACCUGGGACAAUACAGAUGAAUACCCUGGUGAAAGUGCACCACUUUUUAUGCCUGUUUACAGAAACAACAGCGAUCUGAAUGAAGGGCUGCAGGAUGUUGCUCAUGAGAUAUGAAGCACUACAGAAGGAG